UAACCAUUGAUGAAAUUCUAUUGAAUGUCCCCAAUUUUCGGAAAAGGACUGCACCGAAAUAUUUCAAUCAAAAUCAUUUAUCGUUUUGUUUAGCUAUUUUUUUUCUCAAAUUAUCACUCUUUUCUUCCUUUUUCAUUCUCUCAAUUGUUCUUUUUAUUUGAGGAAAUUUGAUUGUAUUGCAUAUACAACUAUGCGAUGCACUUUGUUCAUUUUAACUUUGGAUAUAUGUGCCUUGCUAUGAACGCGUUCAUUUUUAAGUGACCGGACCCUAAAAUAUUCAGGUAGCAUGACGGAAGCUAUGAAUUAAUCCUGGUGGAGGGGUGUGUUCAGUUUGAGGGAGGAUGAUAAAAUGGAACGGAGAUUGCAAGGAGACGUAGAAAAUAAAGUAGGAGCAAAUGGAUUUUCUGCUUGGCGGUAUAGCACGUUUGAGUUUUUCAGUCGUGUCUAUGUUCAGGUUUAUGAUAUGCUGUGGUUGAUUCUGUUGAUUCACACGUUUCGCUUCCAUAUAGUGUGUUAACGGAAACUCCAUGUUAAGGUUUAUUAUAAGAAAAUUUUUUGAAUUUGUUCUUUUUAUAUUGGUUUACUCUCCUCGUGAUUUCUUUUCUUUUUUUAUCGUCAUCCUCUCUGAAUGUAUUUAUUACGCAUGGCUUUUAUUCAUUGCUUUCUAACUGUGAUGGGAGUUUUUUUCUUGUUGCAUAAAUGAACGUGGGCGAGGUUUUUAUUUUCAAACUUGGUGUACUAUAGUGCAAUGCGUUGUUAAUUGUAAUACGAUGUUUCUUCGAUAAAAGGAGCGGAGGGAGAAGGUGAAAUUACGAAGGAAAGAAAGAGAUGAGAAAUCAAGAAUGAAGCAAGACAUUGAUUGAUAUGGUUGUUUUCGGUGCAUGUUUGAUUACUAAAAGUUGGGGCAUUCGAUGGUUUACAGAAGUCAUAAAUUCAAAUAUCCCGUUUAAUCGCUCAUCUAUUAAAAUCAAUAGUAGAAUGUAGUUUCAUACCCGGGAGAAAUUC
rfam:Saccharomyces cerevisiae AWRI796 chromosome XIII, whole genome shotgun sequence.